GAGUUUGAUCCUGGCUCAGAAUCAACGCUGGCGGCGUGCCUAACACAUGCAAGUCGCACGAGAAAGUGGAGCAAUCCAUGAGUUAAGUGGCGCACGGG
rnacentral:rRNA from 1 species